rnacentral:lncRNA from 1 species
GGGAAGUGCUGAGAUCAGCUUGGCUCAUGGGAGAAAGAUGGGGUGACUUAUAAGGAGGACUUCCCAUGUAUAAAUGAUUUUAACUGAAGCCUGUGGGGUGGCCUGUGUCGUAUAAAUACUGUGUUAUAAUGCUCACAUCUCUCCCUUGUAAAAUCACAGGAUAGCUUCCUACUGGCAUGCUGCCGCUGCUGUUACUGGGUCUCAGACCUUGCUGACUGAUCAUGCGGGUAGCAAACUUCUAUCUCCCUGCCAAGGCUGGUGGCCCAGCUGGCCUAGGACUGUACGUGGGAUCAGAUACAAUCAUGAAACAUGCAACCUGAUUAAUAAGGAGAGAAAGUAGCAUAUUAUGAAGUCCUGCUCUGGUAUUUCCCAAAGCGUGAAAACCCAAAGACUAGCAGAGGAAGGAAAUGUUGAAACCUGUGGGGGUCAUAAUGUGAUGACAAGUCAAACAGGAACAAGUAGCAUGCUUAACUGUGCAGAAGACUAAUUGACCACGCACCAAGGACACUCUCAGGAAGGGUGGGCCUAUGGUGUCUCUCUGGAUAGGCCCCCAGGGGGAGGGUGGUGGUGGCACCAGGUCUGCAUUGCAGUUGUCCAGCAGC